GAGCCGUUCUAGCUCAGUUGGUAGAGCGCGUGGCUUUUAACCACGUGGUCGUGGGUUCGAGUCCCACGGAUGGCGUUUUAUUUUAUCUUUUUUUUGUAUGUUUUCUGGUUUUGUAAUAGACAUUUAAAUAUCAUCAGAAAAGUGUUUUAAAUAUACCAUCUGAAAAAAUAUGAGCCGUUCUAGCUCAGUUGGUAGAGCGCGUGGCUUUUAACCACGUGGUCGUGGGUUCGAGUCCCACGGAUGGCGG
rnacentral:tRNA from 1 species